AAGCGCGCGGUAGGUUGGUUUGUUAAGUUGAUGUAGAAUCCCCGGGCUCAACCUGGGAACUGCAUCCAAAACUGGCAAGCUAGAGUAUGGUAGAGGGUGGUGGAAUUUCCUGUGUAGCGGUGAAAUGCGUAGAUAUAGGAAGGAACACCAGUGGCGAAGGCGACCACCUGGACUGAUACUGACACUGAGGUGCGAAAGCGUGGGGAGCAAACAGGAUUAGAUACCCCUGU
rnacentral:rRNA from 1 species